GAUGAACGCUGGCGGCGUGCCUAAAACAUGCAAGUCGUGCGGCAGCAUGCCCUUCGGGGUGAUGGCGAGCGGCGGACGGCUGAGUAACACGUGGGAAUCUGCCCCGAAGUGAGGGAUAACUGCUCGAAAGAGUAGCUAAUACCGCAUAUGGUCUACGGAUUAAAGCUUCGGCGCUUCGGGAGGAGCCCGCGUAAGAUUAGAUAGUUGGUGAGGUAAUGGCUCACCAAGUCGACGAUCUUUAACUGGUUUGAGAGGAUGAUCAGUCAGACUGGAACUGAGACACGGUCCAGACUCCUACGGGAGGCAGCAGUUAGGAAUAUUCCACAAUGGGGGCAACCCUGAUGGAGCAACGCCGCGUGGAGGAUGAAGGCCUUCGGGUUGUAAACUUCUUUUCUAUGCGAAGAAUAUGACGGUAACAUAGGAAUAAGGGUCUGCUAACUACGUGCCAGCCGCCGCCGUAA
rnacentral:rRNA from 1 species